AUGAGAGCCGUGAAGGGUCUGACGACACCCACCCUGGAGCGAUUUCAAGUCGCCGAAGAAGAGCUGAGGACCAUCGUAUCUCUACACGGAGACAAGAUGGAGAGAGUUGGAGACAUCGUGGGACGUAUCUUAAUCUGGCUGGACAACGUCUGUGAUCCCAGAGCCAGAAAAACAGCGCUGAGGGCCACGGCCUUGCUGGCUCGUUCCCACCCCCAGGACGUGGUUCUGAGCUGUGUGGCGCACACGCUGUCCUCGGACAGAUGUGCCAUUGAGCUGUGGA